UUUUAUUUGAGAGUUUGAUCCUGGCUCAGGAUGAACGCUGGCGGCGUGCCUAACACAUGCAAGUUGAGCGAUUUACUUCGGUAAAGAGCGGCGGACGGGUGAGUAACGCGUGGGUAACCUACCCUGUACACACGGAUAACAUACCGAAAGGUAUGCUAAUACGGGAUAAUAUAUUUGAGAGGCAUCUCUUAAAUAUCAAAGGUGAGCCAGUACAGGAUGGACCCGCGUCUGAUUAGCUAGUUGGUAAGGUAACGGCUUACCAAGGCGACGAUCAGUAGCCGACCUGAGAGGGUGAUCGGCCACAUUGGAACUGAGACACGGUCCAAACUCCUACGGGAGGCAGCAGUGGGGAAUAUUGCACAAUGGGCGAAAGCCUGAUGCAGCAACGCCG
rnacentral:rRNA from 1 species